UCUAAUAUGGCAGAAUAUAUGCAAUGAAUUUAAGCUUCAUUUAUAAAGAUUAAUCUUUUAUUGGAA
rnacentral:tRNA from 1 species